GAUGAAGAACGUAGCGAAAUGCGAUAAGUAAUGUGAAUUGCAGAAUUCAGUGAAUCAUCGAAUCUUUGAACGCACAUUGCGCCCUCUGGUAUUCCGGGGGGCAUGCCUGUUCGAGCGUCAUUACGCCCCUCAAGUCCCCUGUGGACUUGGUGUUGGGGAUCGGCGAGGCUGGUUUUCCAGCACAGCCGUCCCUUAAAUUAAUUGGCGGUCUCGCCGUGGCCCUCCUCUGCGCAGUAGUAAAACACUCGCAACAGGAGCCCGGCGCGGUCCACUGCCGUAAAACCCCCCAACUUUUUAUAGUUGACCUCGAAUCAGGUAGGACUACCCGCUGAACUUAAGCAUAUCAAUAAGCGGAGGA
rnacentral:misc_RNA from 1 species